UAGGGAAUAUUGGGCAAUGGACGCAAGUCUGACCCAGCCAUGCCGCGUGCAGGAUGAAGGCCUUCUGGGUUGUAAACUGCUUUUAUCUAGGAAGAAAAAACUCUUGCGAGAGGAACUGACGGUACUAGAUGAAUAAGCACCGGCUAACUCCGUGCCAGCAGCCGCGGUAAUACGGAGGGUGCAAGCGUUGUCCGGAUUUAUUGGGUUUAAAGGGUGCGUAGGCGGCCUUAUAAGUCAGUGGUGAAAGCCCAUCGCUCAACGAUGGAACUGCCAUUGAUACUGUAAGGCUUGAGUACAGACGAGGUAGGCGGAAUUGAUGGUGUAGCGGUGAAAUGCAUAGAUACCAUCAAGAACACCGAUUGCGUAGGCAGCUUACUAGGCUGUAACUGACGCUGAGGCACGAAAGCGUGGGGAGCGAACA
rnacentral:rRNA from 1 species